ACAUCCAGAGAACUUUCCAGAGAUGGAUUGGUGCCUUCGGGAACUCUGAGACAGGUGCUGCAUGGCUGUCGUCAGCUCGUGUUGUGAAAUGUUGGGUUAAGUCCCGCAACGAGCGCAACCCUUAUCCUUUGUUGCCAGCGGUUAGGCCGGGAACUCAAAGGAGACUGCCAGUGAUAAACUGGAGGAAGGUGGGGAUGACGUCAAGUCAUUAUGGCCCUUACGAGUAGGGCUACACACGUGCUACAAUGGCGCAUACAAAGAGAAGCGACCUCGCGAGAGCAAGCGGACCUCAUAAAGUGCGUCGUAGUCCGGAUUGGAGUCUGCAACUUGACUCCAUGAAGUCGGAAUCGCUAGUAAUCGUGGAUCAGAAUGCCACGGUGAAUACGUUCCCGGGCCUUGUACACACCGCCCGUCACACCAUGGGAGUGGGUUGCAAAAGAAGUAGGUAGCUUAACCUUCGGGAGGGCGCUUACCACUUUGUGAUUCAUGACUGGGGUGAAGUCGUAACAAGGUAAGCGUAGUGCU
rnacentral:rRNA from 1 species